rnacentral:lncRNA from 1 species
UUCAUUAGAAUCUCCUGAGAAGCUUUAUAGAAAUAGCAAUACUGGGAUUCUAACUCCACAGAUUCUAAUUUGAUUGGUCAGGGGCAGGCCAGCCAAUCAGCAUUUUUAAAAAGCCUCCUGAGUGAUUUCAGCAUUAAAAACCACUAGCAUGUGGGUAAUCUGACCUCUAGGCUUGAGCAAUCGAGGGGUCAGAAGGCCAGCUUGCUUGAAAGUAGGGAUAGUUCAAAAGCAUGUUUAAGCAAGUUUAAGAUAAAUUUAAACGUGAAAUGGAGAAGGGAAAGAAUUAUAAACCACAGCCUCAGGGAUUAUUUGGGUGUAGUGAGCAUUUUAGAUUGAAGGAAAGGGGAAUUUUUUUAAAUUGAUGGAAGUGUCAAAGAGUACAACUGAGAUAAAUUGAAAUUGAAAAUUCUUUCUGGGGCUGUUGUACACUAGGACCCUGUCAUACAUUUAUACUGAGCUUAAAAUAAUCCUAGAGACAUCUCUAUUCUUUUAAAAAAUGUUUAAUUUUGCAGUUCUCCACAUUGCUUUGUGGUAUGCAACUGUAAAAUUGGUUAGGGUCAUGCAAAAUGUGAAAUCUGAUUGGAUAGUAAUUAUCUUCAUUUACACAACACCCAACUGAAGGAAAUAACGAUCAUUUUUAGACUUUACAAAAUACAAGCUAAAAGUGAAAUUCUGCUAAAGUUAAUUUUAUAAAGAUUCUGAUUUUAUUUCUUUUUUUUUUUGUUUAUAACUUGGAUGAGUUGGAACAAAAAAUAGAAAAGUUUUGAAAGAAAUGGUGAAGGGACUCUAGCAAAGAAGGUGGCAGCAAAUGAAUGAGAAAAAUGACAGACGGCCGGGGAUUUAGCUCAGUGGUUCUGCCGCCCGCCUCAAAAGCACAUGGUCCCGAGCUGGAUCCCCGGUACUAAAAAAGCAAUGCAAACCCAUACUGUCAAUAUACUUAUUGUACUUACUGGAUGAACAAAUGACCUCCAAAGAUAGGUCUAGUUUUGCAUGUUAGGAUGCUAUAAUGACUGAGGCAUUAGUAACGAAAUCAAACUUUUCUCGAAAAACACUCCCCAGACGUGUUUCCAAGUACUGCACCCAGCACCUCCCUGUAGGUAUUCUGAAAGUCCCUGAGCUCUCUGUCUUGCUUUCGGGCAGCCACCCACACUCCCACAUACUGAAGGAGAGGUAUCUAUCUGAGGGUCUAUGAAGAAAGGACUUUCAUUUGUUCAUAAGUUUUGGGCAGGUUCACCUCGGAGAAUCAAUCCCUAGAAUGAAGGGGAAAGCAACCAAAAAGAGCUCCAUUCUUUCAUCCUUUGGAAAAUGGAGUGGAAAGAGUAACUGCCUCUUACUGGUCCUUAAUGGGUUACUGCUCCAAAAUCAAAUGAGCAAGUUGGGAGAGACGAGUUUUCGCAGUGUCUUGUGGCUCUGCGCUCACCCACAGUACCCUCGAACAAAGCGCCCCGUUUGGCUUCUGUUUGCUGCGUCAGCGAGUACGCAGAGCCGCCUCCCCUACGCUGCCAGGUACUAAGCUCCAGGACCAACACCCACCAAUUCUCUGCUCUCGGGUUUGUGCCGAGAGAAGCCGACGGACAGACAGGUAAACUGCGUGACUCAUCAAGUGGGUAUAAACGCCAUCACGGGGAAUAAAAGGAUUACUGGAGAUACUAGCACGGGGCUCUGGGGCCAAAGUUACAUCAGCGUUAUGAGGAAAACUACUACCCGCCCCUUUCCCGUUCAGGUCGCGGCGCGAACACGGAGCGCCCCUGCCCGACCGCUUCCUCCCACCUCCCCGACCAGCGCUCUACUGGCCGUGCACAAACCGCGCCAUCAGGCGGUCCCAGCCGCCCUGCCCUGCCUCCCUCCCCUCAGCGCCCUCCGGCACUCAUUUCUCACAGGAGGAAAAAGACGACGUCGUGAGAACUCGGACAACCUGGUCUCGUGCAAAAUUUUACAUCAGAAACAUAAACGCGAAGGAAGAAGAUACUAAAGGGGAAGUCGCCUACUGCCGCCUCUAAGGCUCAAUCCGAGCGAGAGCCAACCGACCAGGACACAAAACGGAAACCCGAGGGUCGCCCCGCUCCGCGACCCCGCCCCAUCUUUGUUCCCCUCGCGCUGGCCACGAGGCUCCAGACGCCCUCGCGACGCGGACACGCGCAGCAGCCAGCGCCCCGCCGCCCUCUCCUCGCGCGUGCCCGUCCGCGCCCGCCGUCCCCCCUCGAGCAGCCCGGGGUGGGCGCGGCCUCGGCGCCCGGGCGGGAAGUAGCGCCGUCCGCGCGGAAGGACACGCACGGCGUGGUGCGGCCUGCGCCUUUAUAUUACUCGGCGGCGGCUGUCUCGGGUUGGUCUGCGAGCUCUAAGUCCUGGAGCCCUGCUCUCCCCUCCUGCGGGUCGGCCCUGGUAGCUCCUGGCAGGUGUCAGUAGGCCAGGCCCGGAUUCCCCCAAACUUAAACGCUGGGCGCCCGAGUUUCGAUUUCUUCUGCUGCGAAACAAUGGUCGUUGGGAUUCGAAGUGAGAGAAUGCAGGGCAAAUCGCCUAACAGUAUUUAGUGAGUUCUCCAGAGCAUAGCCAGUACUACAAGCAGCAACACGGACAGAACUGAGCAGCACUAUCGGGGGUGGGGGUGGGGGUGGGGGUGGCAAAAGACCACAGUCUGAUUUCACUUCUAUGAAAUUUUAGAGGUAAACUGUAGCGACAGCAUUUGCCUGGGGAGGAGAAACCAGGACCUAAUGCAGUGCAAAGGAGCGGGGGAGGGGGGACUUAGAAGAGGUGAAAGAAUGUACUCUGCAUCUUAAUGGGAACGGUGGUUACGCGACUUACACGGCGGCCAAAAUUCAUAGAAUUGUAGUCUCUAGAUGGGCGAAGCUUAUCUUCAAGUUAUAUACAAAAUUUCCUCAGAGUUGGGGCAAAAAGUUUUAAAAAUGAUCACUGCUAGGCGUAGUUGAGGACUUAAGUUUGUGGGGAGAAAAUACCAGUUUACAAAAAUCUGAGCGUUAGACGCAUGCAGUCUCUGAAUGUAGUAGCUUCUCCGAGUCCUCUAGAACCAGGGGAUAGCCUAGGUCCGAGGAGGAUCCAGGAUUGCAAGCAGGAUCCUAAAUUUGCUAGGGUCUGUUGAUGUAGAGGAUUGGCCUCCGUGUGGCAUCCUUUCCCUGGAUGAGGGUCGGGCUUCAACACUGCCCCCUUGAUGGGAUGUUCCCGCGGGUCCCCCUUGCCCCAGACUCAUGAGGAACUACAGUCCAUCUCCCCCUGGCUUCCCUGACAGUUGGCUGGUGGGAUCCAGGGCUGGGCCCAGAGCAGUGAGAACUAGAGGCCCGUGAGGAGAGCCUCACAAAAGAGGCAGAAAACAAGUAGUAGCCAGCGUGUACGCUCAGGCCCCUUCCUCCCAUCCACACAGUUCUGCAUGGAAGCUGCCUUUGAGGACUGAGCAAUCCAACUGUACUUUCCUGUGAAGUUGCUUUCAGAUCAAUAAUGCACCACUGCAUCUGGCCUCCCUGGCCUAGAAAUUACCUUCUAAUCACAUCUCGGCGCUUAAACUUGGCCUCAGGCUCAGCUUUCUAAUCAACCCUUUAGCAGUCUUUGGGCUUUAGAUCUGUGCUUUCUUCAAAUUUCACAAUCACAAGCAGAAUUAGGACCUUUUUCCCCUCCCUUGCUUUGGCCGUGGUUUACUGUCCCACUAAAGUGCUAGUUUAUUUGGGUAACUCCGAUAUAAUUUAUUAGUCCAUGUUCGCAGCACAUAAUGGUUCCAUUCCUUGUGUGGAGUUGGUCUGUGUACAGAACACAUCUUAAUUACUUUUUUUCAUCUUUUCCUCUCCUUUGACAAAGAUGUCUCCCUACGUCCUAUUUAUAAUUGGGUUUCUCACAUAAGAUCAUGUGAUACGUAAGUGCUGAUGGGUUUAGGUGAUCCCUUGGGGCCAAUGCUGAAUACAUGUAUUUUUUGUUUUGAAGUAGUGGACCCCCCCCCAUUUGAAGUUGGUAGAGGUAAAAGUUUUGCCUUACAUUUAUUGGUUUCUAGUAGAGCUCCCUCAGGAGUGCUCGAUCCUGGGCACUUACCGGUUUUAAACAGUUGGAAGCUUGAAAGCCUUGAAGUAGGAACCAAAGACCUUUCAAUUAUCCGAUAAAGCUGUGAGCCUAGGUGGGAAGACUGAGGCCUAAUUGGCCUCUUCGGCCAGCACUGAGAGGAAAAGGGGGAUCCAAGCGAGCUAACACGCCGCAGGGAGAAGUAGAAACACCGGAGGGUAGGUUGUUUACCCGGAGAAGUACCGUGGGGGUGGAGACAGAUGGAUUCUGUGAACUGUAAUUGCUCUGCCCGUGUCUGGGUGAAUAAAGCCAAGGUGGCCAGUGGCUUGCGGCUCUAUAUCGAAGGGAGACGUGAGCUCUCGGGCCUCCCAGAUUUUAAACCUGUUUGUGUGUGGCUAUUUGUUCAUCCUCCACACCCCUCGGUUAGAUUUGAGCUCGGAGGCUGGUCCUACAUGAGUCUAGGGUCUAGUUACAUGAUUUCAGCCUACUGUAAAACCACAUUCUAUCUUUCCUAAAAUCAGGGGAGGGUAUAUUAAAGCCUUGUUUAAAGUGACCUCUAGUUGAUAAUUUUUGUAAGUGUUUUUCUUUGCAUUAUUUUAAAUAUUGGAAACGUCAGUAAAUUCAUGUUUUUAACGACAGCAGCCACCACACCAUGGUUUUGUGGCCAAGUGUUUAUUGACAGUUUGUCAGGCCUCACUCUGGGUUUCCCUCCCUCCCUCCCUAGCUUGCCAACCAACUGUAACUUGAUCAGUUUGAGAUGGGACUGCCCAGGGUCAUAUGUUAAAUAAGACACGUCCACUUUUCUGAUUACAAAAUCCUCCCUUGCCUGGCCACUUAAAAACUUAGAUAAUCUACAAACACAUAGAUCUAAGGAUUUCUGCUACAUACCUUAGAGGUCACACCUGCAAAUUUGCCUAUUAGCACAAUAUUUCUUUAAUUACAGAUUUUUUUGUUUGUAACUAUAGGCUGUCAGAGCACUUAAAAUUUAUUCUUUAAAACAUGUUCUAUCUUCACAUUAUAGUGAAUUGACUUUUACAGAGAAAACUUUGUCGUUCUACCAUGUUUAUAACUUUUAAUUUUUGCAUUUGAAAAAUGCUUUAGCUGAGGUUACAUUCAGUUACAAGCAAAACUGAAGCCAGGUAGUACACAUAAUGCAUUUAAACAUUUUCCCAAAAACCAAAAGACAUUUAAGAAUAUCUUUGGGUUACAGGCAUGCAGCAUCAGGGGACAACACUGCAUCCAAUCAACUCAUUUAAAUGGAUAGCUUGAACAGAAGCAGGAUUUCUCUCCACAGUUCUCGCAGUGGAAUCCUUGGGGAAAGAGGAAAAGAUUAAGUCAUCAUUUGAGUUUCUUCAGGCUCAACCAAAGGCUAACAAUUCACAGAAAUAUCUUGGAAUCAAAGAGAAGACUCUGGUGCUCUCACUGGCUGUUGUUUGGCACCUUGGAUAGCCAGGGCAGAGACACAAAACGAGAGCAAAGACUGUAGGAAACUUCCCUAAGAGAAGAGGGGAAAGAGAGCAUUUGGUUGCUUUGAAAUGGAUAUGUGGAAACCAGCCUCACUCGGGCAGCCUUUGCAGCCUUCUGCUGAGCUCCAGGCCCCUGCCUGGCAGCCUCUCACAGGUGACGGGCAGAAAGGGGAUUGUCUUUAGAAUCUGCACUGAAGCCACCGCCGCCUCUCCACCACUGAGAUCCAACUGGUUCCCUCUAAAAUGGCUUUUUAAAAUUUGCAAAUACAGAAACAGGCUGGGGAGAACCUAAGCAAAAGUGUACAUUUACUGGAUGAGUACUUGACCAGCUCAUGGAUUCCAAGAAGUUGACCAAGCCUCUCCCCCGAAGAGCAGGCACUGGGCAGUUCCUGGAAGCUGAGCGGCUGAACUCCACUGACCCCUCCAAAGGGCUGCCUUUAAUGACUCGAGUACCAACUCCCGAGGCUCAUCUACGGCCGCCUCACUGUGGAAAUCUAAAAAUUCUUCAGAGAUUCCCAAUGGCCUGCAUGGGCACUACAGUGUGGGCCUUUCCUUUUAAACUGAUCCUCUUUAAAAAUGGUUUCAGGCACUGCUAACCUCAGCUGAGUAGAUGGGGCUGUCGGAACCAGAUUCCGAUGCCCAGUGUAAAGAGUCAAAGUAGCAGCAGUCCCAACAGGGUAAAGUUUAAAAGAACCUAUUCUCUUGGGCAAGAUGCACUUUAAAAGUGUCUCUGCCUAGGGCUGGGGUGUGGCUCUGGUGGACUCACCCAGCUUGUCCAGGGUAGGGGUGGGAGGUUGUCUUCUGGUUUCUGGUGGCCUCAUUCAUUUAGUAAUUACUUCUAAAUAACCUGCUGUGAAUAAACCUAGACCUGUGUCUCGUGUGUGAGCAGUCUUAAGGGAUUCUGAGAGUAACUUUUCAUAUGAACACUGGAUUUUAAGCCCCUUCCCCUUGGAUGAGAAACCUACAGAUUUUGCCUGAGCAACGAGAGCACAUCCUUGUUAAGGUUAAGAUUUCACUGUCUCUGUUCAGAGCCUUCAUUAGGCUACAUCAGAGGACAACUGAGAUGGCUCUGCAAUUAACUGCAGCCAAGCGUCACUUGUUUUUAUAAUGUGACUUGGGUAUAACUGAAAAAUAACUCAUGCCUCUUUUCCUUUCCCUUCUGAACUGGAUAGAUAACUGCACAUAAGUUAACUUUUUAUUUUUGGUACUGGGGAUCAAACUCGGGACCUUGCACUUUCAAGGCAGGCACCAGAACCACUGAGCUAAAUUCCCGGCCCCCACAUAAGUUAAUUUUUUAAAAAAUUCUAGCUAUUUCCUCAAACCUGAGGUAAGAGCAGUUUAGAAGACAUUUAGCAGCCAAGCUCCCCAAGGGAGGCCAGGAACUUCUAACUGACAAGGGCUGCUAAGGCCGCAGAGUCUACCCAGAAUGCAUAUGCAAAGUAUCUGGAAAUUUGGUUUGGGCUUAGAUCUGAGCAAAUCUGAUGUUCUGGUAUGUUUGGAUUCUAAUUUGAAGUAGUUGCCUUAGGUGUUCUUAAAUUUUUUAAUUCAAAUUAAAGCAUUCAUUAAGAUUUAGCAAAUUAAGACUUGGUGUGAGUUGAGAUUUAAUUUGCUUCAUAAGGAUAUAAAGAUGUGAUUCAAAAAUCACAGCAGCCAGGAGGCUGGGUGAGUUGUCCCUUUACCUUGAAGAGGAGAUAUGGAUUGAGGACUAGAGUAUUUUAUUAUAGUUCACCCCUUGUGCUGCUAAAAUGUACUUGCUGCUUAUGAUAAGUUCACACAGUGCCCCACAAUUCCAGAAUUCUUGGGUGUUUGGUUUUUUUUU